UACGUAGGGUGCAAGCGUUGUCCGGAAUUAUUGGGCGUAAAGAGCUCGUAGGCGGUCUGUCGCGUCGGCUGUGAAAUCCCGAGGCUCAACCUCGGGUCUGCAGUCGAUACGGGCAAACUAGAGUAUUGCAGGGGAGACUGGAAUUCCUGGUGUAGCGGUGAAAUGCGCAGAUAUCAGGAGGAACACCGGUGGCGAAGGCGGGUCUCUGGGACGAUACUGACGCUGAGGAGCGAAAGCGUGGGGAGCGAACAGG
rnacentral:rRNA from 1 species